rnacentral:rRNA from 1 species
UACGUAGGGUCCAAGCGUUGUCCGGAUUUAUUGGGCGUAAAGAGCUUGUAGGCGGUCUGUCGCGUCUGCUGUGAAAAUCCGGGGCUCAACCCCGGACUUGCAGUGGGUACGGGCAGACUAGAGUGUGGUAGGGGAGACUGGAAUUCCUGGUGUAGCGGUGAAAUGCGCAGAUAUCAGGAGGAACACCGAUGGCGAAGGCAGGUCUCUGGGCCACUACUGACGCUGAGAAGCGAAAGCAUGGGGAGCGAACAGG